rnacentral:rRNA from 1 species
UACAGAGGGUGCAAGCGUUGUUCGGAAUUAUUGGGCGUAAAGGGCGCGUAGGCGGUGCGGUAAGUCUGUAGUGAAAUCUCUGGGCUCAACUCAGAGUCUGCUGCAGAAACUGCCGUGCUUGAGUGUGGGAGAGGUGAGUGGAAUUCCCGGUGUAGCGGUGAAAUGCGUUGAGAUCGGAAGGAACGCCCGUGGCGAAAGCGAGGUCCUGGACGCCUACUGACGCUGAGACGCGAAAGCCAGGGGAGCGAACGGG